rnacentral:rRNA from 1 species
AUGUUUUUCUCCUUACUGGAAGACUGGUUUGUAAGGCUUCACUUUUUGCCAUUCUCUGAAACAAGUCACCCUGGGGUGGAAAAAGAGCUCUCAGAAGUACUGCGACGAGUAGAACUAAUACGGUGUUGCAUAUAUGAUGCUGAGAAAAGGAGGACAGAGGAGCGAGCAGUAAACAAUUGGCUUGAUCAGCUGAGAGAUGUUAUGUAUGAUGUUGAAGAAAUCUUGGACGUGGCUAGAUGUAAAGGAAACAAGCUACUUCCUGACCACCCUUCAUCAUCAUCAGGCAAAUCAGUUGCAUGUAAAGGCCUUUCUGUUUCCUCUUGUUUUUGCAACAUUGGGCCACGCCAUGAUGUUGCUGUUCGGAUUAGAAGCCUCAACAAGAAGAUAGAGAACAUUUUAAAGGACAAUAUAUUUUUAACAUUCAAAAGUAGUACAGAACCUGAAGGGGAGCCUUGGCGCAGUGGUAAAGCUGCUGCCUUGUGA